rnacentral:rRNA from 1 species
AUUGAACGCUGGCGGCAGGCCUAACACAUGCAAGUCGAGCGGAGCGGCGGACGGGCGAGUAAUGCCUAGGAAUCUGCCUGGUAGUGGGGGAUAACGUCCGGAAACGGGCGCUAAUACCGCAUACUAUCAGAUGAGCCUAGGUCGGAUUAGCUGGUUGGUGGGGUAAAGGCCUACCAAGGCGACGAUCCGUAACUGGUCUGAGAGGAUGAUCAGUCAGACUGGAACUGGAACACGGUCCGGACUCCUACGGGAGGCAGCAGUGGGGAAUAUUGCACAAUGGGCGCAAGCCUGAUUCAGCCAUGCCGCGUGGGUGAAGGCGGCCUUCGGGUUGUAAAGCACUUUCAGCGGGGAGGCGUUACCCGCAGAAGAAGCACCGGCUAACUCCGUGCCAGCAGCCGCGGUAAUUC